rnacentral:tRNA from 1 species
UGGGGCUGUGGCUCAGUUGGAUAGAGCAAGCGCCUCCUAAGCGCUAGGCCGCGCGUUCAAAUCGCGCCAGUCCCGU